rnacentral:snRNA from 1 species
GUUGGAACGAUACAGAGAACAUUAGCGUGGCCCCUGUGCAAGGAUGACAUGCAAAUUCAUGAAGCAUUCCAUAUUUUU